UUGAUAGACUUGAUUGAUUCAUGUGGUCUGAAUAAUACUUGAAAUUAAAGAAAUGUCAUUUUGACAUAUUUGACCCGACUUCUCUUGUCCAACCAACAGUCCAAAACCCAAAGAUGAUCUGAAAUGAAAUGACCUGAAAAUCCUCACACUGGGGAAGUUGCAACCAGAGCCCUCGGAGUUUGCUCGGUAGAGAUGGAUCCAUUCUUACAGCCAGAGCCAGGUUAGUGAGGGGUGCCGUGGCAACCAGAGACACCUGGGAAUUAAACCCAAACCUUACAGACCUGAAGAGGCACACAACCACACACGCACACACACACAUACAUACAUACAGACAGCUGUCUCACACCUCUCCUGGAUUGUCAUUGACAAUCCUGAUCAUAGCGGCCACAGCACCCUCCUUCUGAACCAGGUCCAGACCAGGUGCGUUGGGGUCUGGAGCGUCACCCAACCCAUCCUGCCCGUGGAAAUGUCCCGCACUGAGGCUGUUCCCAAGGAUUGGCUUAGCUGCACCUUUAAACACUGGAAUCUGGCACCAGAU